GUUUUGCAGUUAGUGCCAUCCAACAACGUAGGCAGCGGCAUCUCAGACCCUCAACGCUUUCAUCCUUCUAGAUUUUGUCAAGAACCUCUCACUGUCACCUCCUCUGUCUUAACUGAGAACUCGUGCAGACAAAAUUGGGAUUGAACCUCCAGCAAACAGGACAGCAACCAGCUUAAUCCACAUGAAGGAACGGGCAAGAGAUACUCGUGUCUUCGAGUCAUCACAUUCCAGCCCCUCGGAUUAAUGACCUGAAGAGAUGCAGCUCUUCCCACAGUUCAGUGGUCAGCUCGUGAGAGUGAUGUUUCAUGUCUACCAGAAGAGGGCCAGACACAGCAACAGCAAUGCAACCAGUCUUCAUUGGAAGCAAAGCGACAAGGACCGAAGAAAGAGACAGGAAGGCCGGGUACUCACAACCA